CCUACGGGAGGCUGCAGUGGGGAAUAUUGGACAAUGGGGGGAACCCUGAUCCAGCCAUGCCGCGUGUGUGAAGAAGGCCCUCGGGUUGUAAAGCACUUUCAGUGAGGAAGAACGCCUGGUGGUUAAUACCCAUCAGGAAAGACAUCACUCACAGAAGAAGCACCGGCUAACUCCGUGCCAGCAGCCGCGGUAAUACGGAGGGUGCGAGUGUUAAUCGGAAUUACUGGGCGUAAAGCGCGCGUAGGUGGCUUGAUAAGCCGGUUGUGAAAGCCCCGGGCUCAACCUGGGAACGGCAUCCGGAACUGUCAAGCUAGAGUGCAGGAGAGGAAGGUAGAAUUCCCGGUGUAGCGGUGAAAUGCGUAGAGAUCGGGAGGAAUACCAGUGGCGAAGGCGGCCUUCUGGACUGACACUGACACUGAGGUGCGAAAGCGUGGGUAGCAAACAGGAUUAGAUACCCUAGUAGUC
rnacentral:rRNA from 1 species